rnacentral:lncRNA from 1 species
CACAGAGCAUGCGUACAACAUGCAUGACCCAUCUGCAUGCUAGCAUGCACAGGAAGUGUGCACAGCGCACACAUCCCCUCCGCCCGCACGCAUGCACUGAACGUGCGCACAAUGCACAAUUCCCAUUCGCACACACAGUGUGGAGUCAGGACCUACGCGCGUGUCCUGUCGUGCACAUGUGGGCCGUCCGCGUAGCACUUCGCGCACAGACUAGUGCCGCACACUGUGUGCGAGCGUUCUGCGCGGAUAGGCCCUAUGUGCCUAAGGUCUACGCAUAGUUGGCUUACGCGCGCAACAACAAGCCUGUGCACCUACGAGCUACCCUGCAAUGUUGUUACCUUUGGCGGGGUGCCACUGCGGCCGGUGGAGGAAAUUUUCCUCCCUCAUUUUUCAUGCCAAUAAUCUUUUUCUCCUCUCUCUUUACCAAAUUUUACCACUUGAAACGAAUCUAACUGUUCUAAAAUUCUAUAAAUUUCCCUUCCCCU